rnacentral:rRNA from 1 species
CCCUUAGAUGUUCUGGGCUGCACGCGCGCUACACUGACGAAUGCAACGAGCUUAUAACCUUGGCCGAAAGGUCUGGGUAAUCUCCAAAUUUCGUCGUGAUGGGGAUAGAUUAUUGCAAUUAUUAAUCUUCAACGAGGAAUGCCUAGUAAGCGCAAGUCAUCAGCUUGCGUUGAUUACGUCCCUGCCCUUUGUACACACCGCCCGUCGCUCCUACCGAUUGAAUGGUCCGGUGAAGCGUUCGGACCGUGGCUUUCUGACGGUUCGCCGUCGGAUGGCCGUGGGAAGUUCGUUAAACCUUAUCAUUUAGAGGAAGGAGAAGUCGUAACA